UUUCUUCUUCUCCUCUUCUUUUUCUUGUUUUUCCUCUUCUUAUUUAUUUCUCCUCUUCUUCUCCUUUCUUAGUCUUCUUAUUUUCCUUUUUCCUCUCAUUAUUUUUCUUCUUCUUCCUUAUCUUCCUAACUAUAUAUAAUACUUUUCUAAAAAUGUAACUUUUGCAUAUAUAAAACUUUUUCUUCUUCUUCCUUCUUCCUUCUUCCUUCUCUUCCUUCUUUUCCUAAAUAUAUAAAAAAUUUCUAAAAAUAAAAC
rnacentral:lncRNA from 1 species